AUUAGGAUUUUAUUUAGGAUUUAGGAUUUGAUUAAGAUUUGAUUUAGGAUUUAGGAUUUGGUUAAGGUUUGAUUUAGAAUUUAGGAUUUGGAUUAGGAUUUGGUUUAGGGUUUAGGAUUUGGAUUACGAAUUUAUUAAGAUUUGAUUUAGGGUUUAGGAUUUGGUAUAGGAUUUGGUUAGGAUUUGGUUUAGGAUUUGGCUUAGGUUUGAUUCAGGGUUUAGGAUUUUAUUAGGAUUUAAGAUUCAAUUAGUUUUGGCCUAAAAUUUGAAUGAAGUUCAAUAGGAUUUUAACUAGAAUUAAAUUAAGAUUGAAUUGAGAUGUAUUUCAGUGAUAUUUGUGAUCUUUUUAAUAUUUUUUUAAGAAUUCUUAUUGUUUGUUUGAAUCUCUUUGAGAUUUUUUUGAAUUUGAUUAAGCUUGCUUAGAAUUAUUAUGGUCUAAUUAUAGCAUUGUUAGUAUUCUAUUAGAAUUAAGAUUUUGUUAUUACAAUUUCCAUUCUACCUUCCAUAGCCAGGUGCCCGGAGCAUUCUCAAGUAAGACUUCACGUAUCAUGAUAGCGGAGGAUGCAUAUGUUUAGAGGGGGAGGAUGUCGUGUUGUGAUUUGGCUAUUGUAUGAAAAUAAUGUAAUUAUAUACUUAAUAUAUAAUUUAUUAAGUAACAUGGUGAGAGCCAUGUUAUUAGAUUUUAAUUGGUUGUAAAAUAUAAUUUGAUUAUUACCUUGAGAAAAAGUUAUUUAAAAAGAUUAUUAUAGAAUUUAUAUAGCUUUAAUUUCUUAUUGAUAGUGACUUUUAAGAUUGGUUUUGGUUGAUAGUAACUUCUAAAUAUUUAGAGUAAUUUUUAUUAGACAUUAGUGACUUUUGAAAAUUUAUUAUGGUUCUAUUAUUUAGUGUUUAGAGCAUAAAUUAUAUAAAUCUUAUAAGAAAAAGGAUUGAAGAAGGGUUUUGGUAGCAAAGUGAGUAACUAGGGCACUAAUAUAGAUGAAUGGAGGUGGAUGAUGGAAAUCUCCAAUCCUAUUAGUCAAAAGUCAUGACUAAUAGGCUUUGAGGAGGCUACCCGAGGCCAUAUUAGAAAUUAAGGUUAGUUUUUUGCAGCCAUUUGAGCUUUAAAGGCUAAGGUCAACAAGUUUAGGUUUCUAACUAUGGUUUUGGUGCAAGUUUUUUGUGAUUUAGAGUUUAUAUAAAGGAGAUAUAGUUGCUCAAAGUUAAGGUGUUGAUUUGGGAGCUACUGUCACUCUUUUUGGCAUAACGCAAGCAAACAGAUAGUAAUUGAGAAUCGGCGACUGCAACUGAAGAGAGCACUUUUACAACUAUACUUUUUGCUUACUGCUUGCUGGUUUUCAAGUUGAAGUGAAAGAGUUAUUUGAUUUUGAAAUCAGCACAUGUAAUCUAAGAGUAGUAAUUGGCCCGAUUUAUUAGUGGUUGUGUCUUGAGUUAUAUCUUAAGCAAUUUGAUAAGGUUUUGGCUCAAAAUUUCAGAGAAUUUAUAAAUAUAUGUAAGUAAACUUUAAAAAUAAGUUUGAUGACAUUUGAAUAUUGGAUUCUUGAGAUAUUAAGAAAAUAGUGCUCAAAUGAUUAUAAGUUAGGGUUUAGAGCAUCUGCUAGGGUUUCUUAGAUGCUUGAAGAUCGAGAGUGAAUUUG
rnacentral:lncRNA from 1 species